rnacentral:piRNA from 1 species
UGCCACGAAAGAGCCCAGGACCCACAGGAC